GUAUCUGCAAUGAAAAUAUCGACAAGUAUAUACAUGCUGUCUACAUGCGUUUCCAAGAGAAAAGAAGACAUUGGGAAGUUUUACGAGAACCCUUUCUACUUGCAAGUACUCAAUGAGCAUGUAGUGCCUUACUGCCAUGGAUUGACUAAUGCGGAUUACGAAUCUGAAGUAGAAGAUGUAUCAUACCUAUAUUCUGAAAAGGAGAGGUUGGAAGCAACAUCCUUCCCAAUAUUUUAUACCAGCUAGUAUAGAGUUUGAUUCUUGCCUAAUUUGAGAUAUGGAAGUCUAAGUUUGAUAAAAUCACUCGGAAAACACUUUCGCUUCAUUUUUCAGUUGAUCCAGUCGGCAGUGAGAUUAUGUAGCGAAACUUCUUUGAGCUUUGCAGGUCAUUGCAGAAAGCUCUGAGAGUGUGAUUAUAUGCAAACAGAUGCAUGUUUUGGUACUUUUUCUUGACUUAAUUGUCUCUUUUGGUACCCAAUGAAGUGCUUAUGUGAAAAACGGUUUGUCAUUGCUAUCUUUGAUGCAAAUAUUGGACCAAAAUGUCUCUCCACGUGAGGGGCACAUGUUUAGUUACGGCUUUUUGCCUAAUCUUUAUGAUUGUUAAGAGACCCUUAUCAUACUAAACUUAUUUUUUUUAAAAUGUGAAUUCCUAUUUACA